rfam:Asian citrus Psyllid, Diaphorina citri - Florida Strain, whole genome shotgun sequence.
GCCUCGGUGGUGUAGUGGUCAAGACGUUCGCCUGAUAUUCAGAAGCCUGGGUUCAAUCCCAGUCGAGGCC